GGGCCCGCACAAGCGGUGGAGCAUGUGGCUUAAUUCGAUGCAACGCGAAGAACCUUACCUGGGCUCGAACGCUAUCUGACAGACCCUGAAAGGGGUCCUUCUUCGGACGGAUAGUGAGGUGCUGCAUGGCUGUCGUCAGCUCGUGUCGUGAGAUGUUGGGUUAAGUCCCGCAACGAGCGCAACCCCCUAUUACUAGUUACCAGCACGUUAUGGUGGGGACUCUAGUGAGACUGCCUGCGCAAGCAGUGAGGAAAGGUGGGGACGACGUCAAGUCAUCAUGGCCCUUAUGCCCAGGGCUGCACACGUGCUACAAUGGUCGGUACAAUGGGCUGCCCACCUCGCGAGAGGGAGCU
rnacentral:rRNA from 1 species